GACUCUGAGUGGUAGAUCACUCAGUUCGUGCAUCGAUGAAGAAUGCAGUUAGCUGUGAGAACUAAUGUGAAUUGCAGGACACAUUGAUCAUUGACACUUCGAAUGCACUUUGCAGCCCUUGGUUAGUCCCGGGGAUAUGCCUGUCUGAGGGCCA